UGAAUUCCCCUCCUCACGCCAGCCUAGGAGAAGAAGUUCGUAGUCCCAGAGGAAGAGGAGUUGUACGCAUGUCAGAGAGGUUGCAGGCUGUUUUCAAUUUGUCAGUUUGUGGAUGAUGGAAUUGACUUAAAUCGAACUAAAUUGGAAUGUGAAUCUGCAUGUACAGAAGCAUAUUCCCAAUCUGAUGAGCAAUAUGCUUGCCAUCUUGGUUGCCAGAAUCAGCUGCCAUUCGCUGAACUGAGACAAGAACAACUUAUGUCCCUGAUGCCAAAAAUGCACCUACUCUUUCCUCUAACUCUGGUGAGGUCAUUCUGGAGUGACAUGAUGGACUCCGCACAGAGCUUCAUAACCUCUUCAUGGACUUUUUAUCUUCAAGCCGAUGACGGAAAAAUAGUUAUAUUCCAGUCUAAGCCAGAAAUCCAGUACGCACCACAUUUGGAGCAGGAGCCUACAAAUUUGAGAGAAUCAUCUCUAAGCAAAAUGUCCUAUCUGCAAAUGAGAAAUUCACAAGCGCACAGGAAUUUUCUUGAAGAUGGAGAAAGUGAUGGCUUUUUAAGAUGCCUCUCUCUGUAUUAACUCUGGGUGGAUUUUAACUACAACUCUUGUCCUCUCGGUGAUGGUAUUGCUUUGGAUUUGUUGUGCAACUGUUGCUACAGCUGUGGAGCAGUAUGUUCCCUCUGAGAAGCUGAGUAUCUAUGGUGACUUGGAGUUUAUGAAUGAACAAAAGCUAAACAGAUAUCCAGCUUCUUCUCUUGUGGUUGUUAGAUCUAAAACUGAAGAUCAUGAAGAAGCAGGGCCUCUACCUACAAAAGUGAAUCUUGCUCAUUCUGAAAUUUAAGCAUUUUUCUUUUAAAAGACAAGUGUAAUAGACAUCUAAAAUUCCACUCCUCAUAGAGCUUUUAAAAUGGUUUCAUUGGAUAUAGGCCUUAAGAAAUCACUAUAAAAUGCAAAUAAAGUUACUCAAAUCUGUGAAGAC
rnacentral:lncRNA from 1 species